rnacentral:rRNA from 1 species
UGCCAGCAGCCGCGGUAAUACUGAAGGUGCAAGCGUUAAUCGGAAUCACUGGGCGUAAAGCGCUCGUAGGUGGCAUUUGUAAGUCAGAUGUGAAAGCCCACGGCUCAACCGUGGAAUUGCAUUUGAUACUGCAUCGCUAGAGUAUAGGAGAGGGAAGUGGAAUUUCUGGUGUAGGAGUGAAAUCCGUAGAGAUCAGAAGGAACACCGGUGGCGAAGGCGGCUUCCUGGACUAUUACUGACACUGAGGAGCCUAACCGUGUGGAUCAAACCGGGGUAGAUG